GACGAGCCACACAAACGUUAUUCGGAAUUACUGGGCUUAAAGGGUGCGUAGGCGGCGCGGAAAGUUGGGUGUGAAAGCCCUCGGCUCAACCGAGGAAUGGCGCCCAAAACUACCGUGCUGGAGGAAGACAGAGGUGAGCGGAACUCAGGGUGGAGCGGUGAAAUGCGUUGAUAUCCUGAGGAACACCGGUGGCGAAAGCGGCUCACUGGGUCGGUACUGACGCUGAGGUGCGAAAGCGUGGGGAGCAAACAGG
rnacentral:rRNA from 1 species